AGAAACUGGUAUAAAGUUAAAUCUACAGGGCAUGGUUGAUCUUACUGCUUCGCCGGACCCUGCUACUGGGUGCAGAAUGCUACCAUCACCGGGUGGCUGUGACAAAGAGAUUGGCAUGUUCCUUUAUAGGGGGCACGUGGACGAGGAGACUAUUAGGCUGGUCAUAGUGGGAAGUAACAUAUACUAGUAUCAUGCAUAUGAUACUAGUGUAUGAUACUACCUCCAUAGUGCAUAGUAACAUAAAGUAGUAUCAUAGAUGAUCAUAUUUAUUGCCAUGCAUGACACAAAGUAGCAUAGCAUUUAACAUGAUAUGGUAUCUACCUAUGUUACUCUAA